AGUCGUAACAAGGUUUCCGUAGGUGAACCUGCGGAAGGAUCAUUAACACAAACUGCGGUCUGCGGAUGUGCACGUCGCCCCUUAACCGGGGACCAACGAUUGCUGCUGCCGCGCCGCACUUGGAUCCAAUCCAUUUAUCCCUGUGAACUGUUAAAGUCUUUACAUUGUGCUAUUAACGCCGUGUAAUACGCUUUGACUGAAAUCUAUUUACGCGUGCUUGAGCCUCACGGCACUUUCGCGUAAAAAUCCUAACCAGAAACAACUCUUAACAACGGAUAUCUUGGUUCUC
rnacentral:misc_RNA from 1 species